CUUAGAUCCAGUUAUUGGCGCCGCUUGAACGAAAACCAAAAAAGUUUCCGAUGUAUGGGAAUUGAUGUUUCUCAAUAUCAGAUUGCAGCCUUUAAUAGCUUUCGGAGGUUGAUUUGGUGAUAUUGGGGUCUAUUUUAUGGCUAUUGAUUAUAACAUUGGUGAUUAAUCACCAGAAGAAGAGUAAUGGGAAAUGCAUAUAGACAGUCGAUUAUACAAUUGAAGAUUGCUUGGUUGCAAUAUUUGGU